UACAGAGGGGGCAAGCGUUGUUCGGAAUUACUGGGCGUAAAGGGCGCGUAGGCGGUCUGUUAAGUCGAACGUGAAAUCCCCGGGCUCAACCCGGGAACUGCGUCCGAUACUGGCAGGCUUGAAUCCGGGAGAGGGAUGUGGAAUUCCAGGUGUAGCGGUGAAAUGCGUAGAUAUCUGGAGGAACACCGGUGGCGAAGGCGGCAUCCUGGACCGGUAUUGACGCUGAGGCGCGAAAGCCAGGGGAGCAAACGGG
rnacentral:rRNA from 1 species